rnacentral:rRNA from 1 species
GAUGAACGCUAGCGGCAGGCCUAACACAUGCAAGUCGAGGGGCAGCAUAGGGUAGCAAUACUCUGAUGGCGACCGGCAAACGGGUGAGUAACGCGUAUGUAACCUACCCUGUACAGGGGGAUAACCCGGAGAAAUUCGGACUAAUAUCCCAUAACAAUAUCCGGGGGCAUCUUUGGAUAUUUAAAGUUCCGGCGGUACGGGAUGGGCAUGCGUAACAUUAGCUAGUUGGUAAGGUAACGGCUUACCAAGGCUUUGAUGUUUAGGGGUCCUGAGAGGGUGGUCCCCCACACUGGUACUGAGACACGGACCAGACUCCUACGGGAGGCAGCAGUGAGGAAUAUUGGUCAAUGGGCGCAAGCCUGAACCAGCCAUCCCGCGUGCAGGAAGACGGCGCUAUGCGUUGUAAACUGCUUUUCCAGGGAGAGAAACUUGCGCACGUGUUGCGCAAUUGACGGUACCCUGGGAAUAAGCAUCGGCUAACUCCGUG